rfam:Trichomonas vaginalis G3, whole genome shotgun sequence.
AGCGGUGUACCUCAAUGGUAGAGAGUCGUUAUAAUUUUUCUCCUAUAUACAGUACUCUUCAAAGCUGAAGACGAAGGUUCAAAUCCUUCCGCCGCUA